rnacentral:rRNA from 1 species
GAUGAACGCUGGCGGCGUGCUUAACACAUGCAAGUCGAACGAAGCACUUUAUUUGAUUUCCUUCGGGACUGAUUAUUUUGUGACUGAGUGGCGGACGGGUGAGUAACGCGUGGGUAACCUGCCUUGUACAGGGGGAUAACAGUUGGAAACGGCUGCUAAUACCGCAUAAGCGCACGGCAUCGCAUGAUGCAGUGUGAAAAACUCCGGUGGUAUAAGAUGGACCCGCGUUGGAUUAGCUAGUUGGUGAGGUAACGGCCCACCAAGGCGACGAUCCAUAGCCGACCUGAGAGGGUGACCGGCCACAUUGGGACUGAGACACGGCCCAAACUCCUGCGGGAGGCAGCAGUGGGGAAUAUUGCACAAUGGGCGAAAGCCUGAUGCAGCGACGCCGCGUGAGCGAAGAAGUAUUUCGGUAUGUAAAGCUCUAUCAGCAGGGAAGAUAAUGACGGUACCUGACGAAGAAGCACCGGCUAAAUACGUG